UUUAUUCUUGUAUUGUUCCCCUUCUCCACGGAUCUCUCAUACAAAGAUAUCAGCACAAUCAGAACUCAUUUCGUCUCUCCUUCUCCCGGCACUCUUCUGUUCCUUAUCUAAUCAAUCAAUAAACUAUAUAUUGAU